rnacentral:rRNA from 1 species
GAUGAACGCUGGCGGCGUGCCUAAUACAUGCAAGUCGAGCGAACGGACGAGAAGCUUGCCUCUCUGAUGUUAGCGGCGGACGGGUGAGUAACACGUGGAUAACCUACCUAUAAGACUGGGAUAACUUCGGGAAACCGGAGCUAAUACCGGAUAAUAUUUUGAACCGCAUGGUUCAAAAGUGAAAGACGGUCUUGCUGUCACUUAUAGAUGGAUCCGCGCUGCAUUAGCUAGUUGGUAAGGUAACGGCUUACCAAGGCAACGAUGCAUAGCCGACCUGAGAGGGUGAUCGGCCACACUGGAACGGAGACACGGUCCAGACUCCUACGGGAGGCAGCAGUAGGGAAUCUUCCGCAAUGGGCGAAAGCCUGACGGAGCAACGCCGCGUGAGUGAUGAAGGUCUUCGGAUCGUAAAACUCUGUUAUUAGGGAAGAACAUAUGUGUAAGUAACUGUGCACAUCUUGACGGUACCUAAUCAGAAAGCCACGGCUAACUACGUG